CGUAGGCAGCAAGCGUUGUUCGGAGUUACUGGGCGUAAAGGGUGUGUAGGCGGUUGUUUAAGUUCGGUGUGAAAUCUCCCGGCUCAACUGGGAGGGUGCGCCGAAUACUGAAUGACUUGGAGUGCGGGAGAGGAAAGUGGAAUUCCUGGUGUAGCGGUGAAAUGCGUAGAUAUCAGGAGGAACACCGGUGGUGUAGACGGCUUUCUGGACCGUAACUGACGCUGAGACACGAAAGCGUGGGUAGCAAACAGGAUUAGAUACCCUGGUAGUCCACGCCCUAAACGAUGCACAUUUGGUGUGGGCAGUUCAUUCUGUCCGUGCCGGAGCUAACGCGUUAAAUGUGCCGCCGUGGGGAGUACAGUCGCAAGGCUG
rnacentral:rRNA from 1 species